AGCAGCCGCGGUAAUUCCAGCUCCAAUAGCGUAUAUUAAAGUUGCUGCAGUUAAAAAGCUCGUAGUUGAAUUUCGGGAUCAAUAUGUUGGUCGUGCCUUGGUACGUACUAGCUUAUUGGUUUCUCCCUUCUGACGAACCAUGAUGUCAUUAAUUUGGUGUCAUGGGGAAUCAGGACUGUUACUUUGAAAAAUUAGAGUGUUUAAAGCAGGCUCGCGCUUGAAUACAUUAGCAUGGAAUAAUGAAAUAGGACAUUUGAUUCUAUUUUGUUGGUUUCUAGGAUCGAUGUAAUGAUUAAUAGGGAUAGUUGGGGGCAUUAGUAUUCAAUUGUCAGAGGUGAAAUUCUUGGAUUUAUUGAAGACUAACUACUGCGAAAGCAUUUGCCAAGGAUGUUUUCAUUAAUCAAGAACGAAAGUUAGGGGAUCGAAGACGAUCAGAUACCGUCGUAGUCUUAACCAUAAACUAUGCCGACUAGGGAUCGGAUGAUGUUAAUUUUUAAUGACUCAUUC
rnacentral:rRNA from 1 species